GUUAUAUGGUCAAGUGAAGAAGCGCAUACGGUGGAUGCCUUGGCAGUCAGAGGCGAUGAAAGACGUGGUAGCCUGCGAAAAGCUUCGGGGAGUCGGCAAACAGACUUUGAUCCGGAGAUGUCUGAAUGGGGGAACCCAGCCAUCAUAAGAUGGUUAUCUUGUACUGAAUACAUAGGUGCAAGAGGCGAACCAGGGGAACUGAAACAUCUAAGUACCCUGAGGAAAAGAAAUCAACCGAGAUUCCCUUAGUAG
rnacentral:rRNA from 1 species